UACGUAGGUGGUAAGCGUUAUCCGGAAUUAUUGGGCGUAAAGCGCGCGCAGGUGGUUUCUUAAGUCUGAUGUGAAAGCCCACGGCUCAACCGUGGAGGGUCAUUGGAAACUGGGGAACUUGAGUGCAGAAGAGGAAAGUGGAAUUCCAAGUGUAGCGGUGAAAUGCGUAGAGAUUUGGAGGAACACCAGUGGCGAAGGCGACUUUCUGGUCUGUAACUGACACUGAGGCGCGAAAGCGUGGGGAGCGAACAGG
rnacentral:rRNA from 1 species